rnacentral:rRNA from 2 species
UAGGGAAUCUUCCACAAUGGACGCAAGUCUGAUGGAGCAACGCCGCGUGAGUGAAGAAGGUCUUCGGAUCGUAAAGCUCUGUUGUUGGUGAAGAAGGAUAGAGGCAGUAACUGGUCUUUAUUUGACGGUAAUCAACCAGAAAGUCACGGCUAACUACGUGCCAGCAGCCGCGGUAAUACGUAGGUGGCAAGCGUUGUCCGGAUUUAUUGGGCGUAAAGCGAGCGCAGGCGGAAUGAUAAGUCUGAUGUGAAAGCCCACGGCUCAACCGUGGAACUGCAUCGGAAACUGUCAUUCUUGAGUGCAGAAGAGGAGAGUGGAACUCCAUGUGUAGCGGUGGAAUGCGUAGAUAUAUGGAAGAACACCAGUGGCGAAGGCGGCUCUCUGGUCUGCAACUGACGCUGAGGCUCGAAAGCAUGGGUAGCGAACAGG